rnacentral:rRNA from 1 species
GACGAACGCUGGCGGCGUGCCUAAUACACGCAAGUCGAACGCUUUUUCUUUCACCGGAGCUUGCUCCACCGAAAGAAAAAGAGUGGCGAACGGGUGAGUAACACGUGGGUAACCUGCCCAUCAGAAGGGGAUAACACUUGGAAACAGGUGCUAAUACCGUAUAACACUAUUUUCCGCAUGGAAGAAAGUUGAAAGGCGCUUUUGCGUCACUGAUGGAUGGACCCGCGGUGCAUUAGCUAGUUGGUGAGGUAACGGCUCACCAAGGCAACGAUGCAUAGCCGACCUGAGAGGGUGAUCGGCCACACUGGGACUGAGACACGGCCCAGACUCCUACGGGAGGCAGCAGUAGGGAAUCUUCGGCAAUGGACGAAAGUCUGACCGAGCAACGCCGCGUGAGUGAAGAGGGUUUUCGGAUCGUAAAACUCUGUUGUUAGAGAAGAACAAGGAUGAGAGUAGAACGUUCAUCCCUUGACGGUAUCUAACCAGAAAGCCACGGCUAACUACGUGCCAGCAGCCGCCGUAA